UUCAUACAAAAUUAAAUCUUAGAUGACUAAGGGUCAUUUUUUUAAAGCAUAGCUCAGGUCAUAUAGCAGGCAAAUCAACUCGGAAAGGGAUCAACAACGUAUCGCCUUUUGUGGCAUGGAGGUAAUAGUGGAGAGGAAAUAUAGAUCUAUACAAAAAUUGAACAAAUUAAUGACAAACAGCUGUUUAUCUCUUUCUAACUUACCCCUGGUGAUGUAUAAAAAAAGAAAUAGAUAAUGUUUGGUCAGUACUCAUUCUGGCAACAUUUUCAUGUGACGUCACUAACUACCUGACUUGUGCCGAGUAGGUACC